rnacentral:lncRNA from 10 species
UUGCAGUCGUGUAUUCUGGGACUUUCCUCAUGGUGGGACCUUUCACACAACCCUCCUCUUCAAGCUGGGCAAGCCUGUUCUUGUCUCUCUUGUGCUUCAGGAGGAAGUACUGGAGAAGAUACAAACGCAUCAGCUAUUUGAAAAAGCAAGCCCAGAAAACAACUGACAAACCAAACAAAUCUGGGAGGCUCAGCAUAUACAUUUUUCUCUUCUAGAAGCUCCAAAGUGCUAAUAUAACAUUUACAUUUAAAUCUGGCGACAUUCAAAUGAAGAAAGCCAAUCGGGAAGAUACUGUCUCUGGGUCUGCAUCCCUGAAGCUUUGUUUUACUGUUGGAGAUGAACAAAUGUAAAUAAUUUAAAGCAUCGCCCCAGUAGUAUUUUCCUCAUUUAAGUUUUAUUUCUAUGUAAAUUUACCUCAGGCCUGGAAAGGUUUGUUUCUGGCCUAGGAUAAAUGGCUGUUUUAUUGCCAGAGUCCAGGCUGGCGAAUUUCCCCAGACACUGGCUAGCUCCUGGGUGGCAGAGUUUGGCUGAAAGACAUCAACGCAAACAUGGUCUCUUUUUCCUUUGCCUGAACUACUAUUCAAAUGAAGAUUAUUAAAGAGAUCUAAAUGUGAAAAUGUUAUAUACUAGCAACAGACACAUCCCCCAAAUGCAUGCACAUGGCCUAAAUUAGACCACCGAAGUAGGCGGUGUCCAGCCUAAAAAUUAUAAGAAAGGAAUUGGAUAAUGAGAGGCAGCAGUCCGUGAAGCCAGCCCACCGGCAGAGCAAGUGCAGCAUCCCUAGAAGGGUUUCCUAGAGGGAGAAAUGGAAGCAUGUGGCACAGGAGUGGAAAGUCGCCCGUUUGUUUCUUUCCCUUCUUUCCCAUCAGAUUCAUUUCCUCUCAACUCCUCUGUAAGAACAAUAGUACUUGACUCACAAGCCCAGGUCCCAUUAGCUUCUGAGGUCACGUUUUCUUUGAAAACAUUAUCUUAUUUAUUAAUACUUUUAAUAGAGAAGCACUACAUAAACAGUCUACCCAAUAAAAUAAUCAAAAAUACAUCAUAGAAUUUAAUGAUUUCUGUCCCCGCCAUCUCCUUCAUUUUCCGCCCCCUAAGGUUACACCUUCCACACUUUUUUGUUUAUGAAAAUGUGCAUAUACCUAUAUGAGGAGGAGGAUGAUUGCUACUUAUUUUUAUAAAAAUAGAACCAUAUUUAUUUUUCCGUAGCCUGCUUUUCUUAACAAGACAUCGUGGAAUUCUCUCUGGGUUAAUAGAUAUUGAUCAUUUUGUUUUUCAAUAGCUGCAUAAUAUUUCCUAUUAAAGAUAUACCAUAAUUUGAACUAUUUCUCUAUCAAUAUACAUCCAAAAAUAAACAAAAAUAGCAAUAAGCAUUCUUAACAUAAAUAUUUAUGUGCUGGCAAUUUUAUUUUUAUAGGAUGAAUUUUCAGAAUUGGAUUAUUGGGCUUGCAUAUUUUUCAAUUUAGUAGACAUUUCUAGUUUAUUUUUCCAAAAGGUUGUAGCAAUUCAAGCCUUCCCAGAAUAUAGGACAGUGAAAAUCUCCUCCAGGUUUACCAAUUCUGGGUUUUCUUCUUUUUAUUUCCCCCCCCAUGUGAUAGGCAAAAAUGAUGUCUUUAAACUUACUUUAUGCUUUCUUGAUUACAAGUGAGGUUGCUCAUCUUUUCAUGGACUUUUUUAUUUCUUCUGCUGUGAAUUCUCUUAUCCUUUGCCUAUUUUUGACUGGGUUGAAGUUGUCUUUUCUUACAAAUUAAAAGAGCUCUGUACAUUAGGAAGAUUAACCUUAUAUCUAUCAUAUCUGUGACAAAAAUUUUCCCCAGGACAUCACUGGUAUUUUGACUUUGUCUACUUAAUCUUUUAACAAUAACAAAAUGUAAUCAAAUAUCAUAUGUUGGUGUUUUCCUUUAUGGCUUCUGGAUCUCUUAUCUUACAUGGGAAAGUCUUCCUACUUCAACACUAUGUAUUAUCCUAAAUUUUGUUCUAAUGUAUAAUUUUUUCACUAACUCUUUAAUUUAUUGGGAAUCUUUUUUUGUGUAUGGUGAGAGUUAAGAAUUUCUCUAUGUUUUCUCCUAGAUAGCCAAGUAUGUCAGCAGCAUUAAUAAAAUAAACACUCCUUUUCUCAUUAACAUGUUCCCUUUGUCAUAUAUUAAGUUUUUACAUGCACUUGGAUUUAUUUUCUGAACUCUUAAUUCUAUUUUACCAGUCUGAGCCAAUGUCAUUAUAUUUUUAUUGUAAUGGCUUUAUCAAACAUCUGAUAUUGGAUAAGGCAAAUCUACCCUCAUGAUCCUUUGUUCUUUUUUUUUUAAACUAGUCUCAGAUAUUUAUGUUCUCAUUAGAAAUUUAAACUUAUUUUAUGCAGCUGAUAAAAAUUGGGAUUCUGUUUGACAUUGCAUUAAUUUUGGAAGGAUUGCUAUAGUAAAGAUAAAUAAUUUCUAUUGAGAAAAUGGUAUAUCUUUUUCAUUUGUUCAGAAUUUUUUUUCACAUCUGUCAAUGAGAUUUCAUAGUCUUCUUUAUCAUUGACCCUGUACCUUUCUUGCUAAAUUGAUUCAUGGAUCGUUUCAUUUGUAUUGAUAUUGUGACUGGGUUGUUUAUCAAGUUGACUUCUAAUGCCUAACUUAUAAUGGCUUGAGCUCUUCCCCACAUGGUGUCACGACUCCAACCCUUCUCAAAGUGUUGCCAAGUCACUCACAGAAACGCACCUUUGUGCUUCCUGUCUGUUCUUGGAUUUAUUGACAGGCAGGUGCUCUCCAGCUCUGACUUUCUCUUGCUGCUCUCUGCAACUUGGGAAGCCUCGCUGUUGCCACGGCAGAGGCACCAUCAUAAGCAUGAUAACACCAUUGCCAGACCUCCAUCUCCAGCGACUUCUAAAGCUGUACAUUUUCAGGGGGCCCAAGUGGUUCUGGGUCCCAUGAGAGGCAGGGAGAAUGGCCUUUUCCCUAAUUCCAUACCACAUCUCAUCCCCUAGUUCAAAUGACUCUGCUUGUUCUCAGAAUCUUCCAAAGUUGUGCUUGCACAGUUCCAUCAGCUCUUGUUCCUGCUCCUCCUCAGAGCCUCUCCAAACCUUCCUGGCUGUGGAUACAGAAGCCAGAACAGCUUUUUCUUUCCUCUUAGCUCAAAUCCAUCCCCACAACCCCUAAAUUAAAGUAACGUAGUUUCUCCAAAGUGUAACUUUCCCUGUCUCAAGAGUUAAAAUCUGUGUUUUUAACUCCUGAAAGCCUCAGGAUCACUAAAGAGCUCCAUUAGAGCAGAAAGUUAUUUUGCUUAUUUAGAUAAAAACCAAAAAUCUGAUUGAGUUUUCUCAGAUCAGAGAAAGAACUGUUUUGGAGGGUUAAUCUCUACCUAUUACAACACUAAAAACAGCUGGAAUCUUUAGAAAUAUAGGUUUUCUCUACCUCUAUCUUCUUCAGCAAGGUUUCAAAAUUCACAGGUCCAAAUUUUCCCAGGAGCUCAGAUCCAGGGUGCUGUGGGCUUCUGCUCCCUCCAGCAGUCUCUGCUGGAAGGAAGUUUCUCUCCAGCUAUGACAGGGACUCCAGCAACUAGGUGGUAGAGGGAGGGCCACUUACUUCCAUGUCUGUCUAGGAACCACUGAGCCUUUUUCAUUACACAUGAUACUAAUGCAAUUUCUUGAGGCUCUCAUAUACAUUAUUGGAUUCAGUCCUCAACACAAUCCUAUAAAAUAGAAUUAAUUUUUCCCCAUUUUACUGCUGAAGAAACUGAGGUUGAGAAAGGUGAAGUAAAUUGUAGAGCUAACAGUGACAGUGAUCUAAUUAAAACCUAGGUUGUACUCCAUAGUCUGAGCUCUUACCUGUGGAAAUGUAUCUGGGGGGACAGGGAGGAUCCUAGCACAAACUUCAUCUGAGUGCCAGUCCAACCACUUCCCCCUGGAGUCUUGACCCAAAGGGCUUGAACAAUUCCUUGUGGUAAAGCUCAGGGCCUUCCAUUUCCCCUUUUUAUCGGAUGCAUCAACUGACUUCUAAGUCUUUGUUAUAUGGUAUUAUUAUCAGGCCCUUUGUUAUGUAGUUUAAUUGUUUCUGUGUUACUGUUUAAUACAUGGAAGCUCAGAGAUUUUACAAAAUAAAGGAGGCAGGGUAUUGAGGUACAGAUUAUACAAUUUUUGUUAGCAAUGAAAGUUUAGAGUUGGUAAACAAUCAGCUAUCUCAGUAAAUUAUCCUUGAUCAUUUCAUUCGUUGUAGUUUGUAGUUUGACUUACAUUUAAUGUGUAAAUGUUUUCUUGUCAAUUUCUUUGGUUUAUAUGUACAAUUUACAAAUUGAUUUUAAUUUCUAGUUUUAUAAGAGCUAUAAGCUUAAAAAUUUAUACCCAGUGUUAACUUUGUUCAUAUGUAUGUAACACUAUAAUAAAAACAAUCUACAUCAACAUUGCAGAUUCCCUGAAAAUAUUUCCCUUUGUAAGGACAUUAUUUAGAGAAAUACUGAUAUACAGCUUCCCUCUGGAUCCUCCCUACAGCUCUGUGAGGCAUAUUUUCUCAUUUCAGUUUAUAGACCAAGAAAUGUGGGCUCAAGCAGGUAUGUGGACAGCCCAUUAGAGCAGAUGUAGACAGUGA